rnacentral:rRNA from 1 species
GACGAACGCUGGCGGCGUGCUUAACACAUGCAAGUCGAACGGAAAGGCCCUGCUUUUGUGGGGUGCCCGAGUGGCGAACGGGUGAGUAGCACGUGAGUAACCUGCCCUUGACUUUGGGAUAACUUCAGGAAACUGGGGCUAAUACCGGAUAGGAGCUCCUGCUGCAUGGUGGGGGUUGGAAAGUUUCGGCGGUUGGGGAUGGACUCGCGGCUUAUCAGCUUGUUGGUGGGGUAGUGGCUUACCAAGGCUUUGACGGGUAGCCGGCCUGAGAGGGUGACCGGCCACAUUGGGACUGAGAUACGGCCCAGACUCCUACGGGAGGCAGCAGUGGGGAAUAUUGCACAAUGGGCGGAAGCCUGAUGCAGCAACGCCGCGUGCGGGAUGACGGCCUUCGGGUUGUAAACCGCUUUCGCCUGCGACGAAGCGUGAGUGACGGUAAUGGGUAAAGAAGCACCGGCUAACUACGUG